CAAUUAUUACUAUCAAAAAUAUUCAUGUUCUGUUUGUAUUUUUUCCAUAAUUGUUUCAAAAUAUAAUUGUGUUAAUUUCUUUCUUUUUAUGAGAUCUCAACCCUUGCUGAAACUUGACAACAACAUAAGAAGCCAAGAUCAACAAUACUUGGAACUACAUCAUCAUGUAUAAUCAAAGAACAUGUACUGUCAGAAUCGGAUCAAUCCAUAUGAGAACCAAUCUUAACUUGAUGCCUACAUGUAUAUACAAUGUGUUGUCAGAAUCCAUCCACUUUAGAAGUCAAAGAUCAAUUAUAAUUUAGAAGUGCAUGCUAUAGUGCUGGCAAAUUCCAUAAACAAAUUUAAGAUCACAAAAGGACCUACUUUACCUACCUAUCCCAAUAAUGAAUACAGAUUAUUGGUUCUUGUUAAAAAAAACACUGAAGAAGAAUAUUGACAUAUAAAUAAUGAAAAUAUAGAACUGAUCAGCUAAGUAUUGUACUUGUACAUGAUGUAUAUAUGUCAACAAUUACUAGUAUAUUGAAAUUAACAAUGUUAAUAAGUGUCUUAUAAAUUUGAUCUCAUAGCUAUAGACAUAUGAGGAAUAAAAAUAAAAAAUCUUUCAAAAAAU
rnacentral:lncRNA from 1 species